CGGCGACCGGCGCACGGGUGAGUAACGCGUAUGCAACCUGCCCUUCACAGGGGGAUAACCGGGAGAAAUUCCGACUAAUACCGCAUACGUCCUUUGGGGGUAUCCCCGGGGGAUGAAAGAAUUAUCGGUGAAGGAUGGGCAUGCGUGAUAUUAGGUAGUUGGCGGGGCAACGGCCCACCAAGCCUACGAUAUCUAGGGGUUCUGAGAGGAAGGUCCCCCACAUUGGUACUGAGACACGGACCAAACUCCUACGGGAGGCAGCAGUGAGGAAUAUUGGUCAAUGGACGAGAGUCUGAACCAGCCAAGUCGCGUGAAGGAAGACGGAUCUAUGGUUUGUAAACUUCUUUAGUGCGGGAACAAAGCGGCGUCGUGACGCCUGAUGAGUGUACCGCAAGAAUAAGCAUCGGCUAACUCCGUGCCAGCAGCCGCGGUAAUACGGAGGAUGCGAGCGUUAUCCGGAUUUAUUGGGUUUAAAGGGAGCGCAGGCUGCGAGGCAAGUCAGCGGUCAAAUGUCGGGGCUCAACCCCGGCCUGCCGUUGAAACUGUCCUGCUAGAGUUCGAGUGAGGUAUGCGGAAUGCGUUGUGUAGCGGUGAAAUGCAUAGAUAUGACGCAGAACUCCGAUUGCGAAGGCAGCAUA
rnacentral:rRNA from 1 species